GUUCCCGUGAUGCAACGGCAGACAUAAACGCCUCAGGAGCGUUUUCUUGUCGGUUCGAAUCCGACCGGGGACACCA
rnacentral:tRNA from 1 species